AUUUACCUUUGUGUUCGAAGCAGAAUUUUACUUAAGAAAAUGGACCAUUUUAAUAGAAAUACGUUGAUCCAGUUCAACCGAAAAGAGAACCUGGUAAAACUUCGAAACGCUUUCCAACAAUUAGGCUGAUAAUCGAGCAAGAGGACUACUGCUAUAUUUAUAACUACGUGGAUUUCAUCCGGGAAGAUCCCAAUCCAUGGAGUGACGACAACACCGCAUAAUCUGAGUGUGAAAAUCCGAAAAAAAAAUAAAAGCCUUGCGAAACUCUACUCAUCGGUCCGGAGAAAAGUCAAAACACCAAAAUGUUGUGCCAAGUAUCAAAGAUUGCACGAAAUGUGGCGACAGAAAGCUCAGUAUUGGAAAUCUAAAUUCAAUCAGCUGAGCAAGUAGUUCGAAGUCCCACGGUGCCUCAGUAAAGUGUUCAAUGAAGACCAGAUUCAGGUGGUACGAUAGCCGAA